CUUACAUCUUCUCCCUUCUUCCCGCUAGGGCCUGCUGCCAGGAUCCUGUGGGUUUGGUGUAUUUGCUCCUCCACUAGCUUGCUAAUCUCUCCUCUGGUCCCUCCAAGGAUCAUGUGGGGAGAGAGAGGAAAGAUAAGGGGGAUUGGAAAGAUCUUGUCUUUCCAAUUGUCUGGAGCUGUCAAAGGCUGGCUUUGCCCUGAGUGUGACAGACGUUUUAAGGUGACAGUUCUGCACCCAGGUUUUCUGGAGAUGUCCCUGCUAGUCCACCUAUGGCUGUAGCUCCCUUCCUGCCGGCAGGCUUUUCCUGUGGGUAAUGGAUCUCCAUUCAUUCCUGCUCUUGCCUCUCCCUAACGGUACUUCAUUCUGGACAGGGGACAAGAGUCCUCUCACAGUGACCCCAGGCUGACAUUCCUACUGCUGUUCUGAAGCGGUGAAGAACUUUGAGAAGAGUGUGACUGGUUGAGUUUUUUUUGUAAAGUCUGCCCUUGGCCAGCCUCACCUGUGCUGGGGAAGGCAGCAGCUGCUGUGCCUUGGUGCCUUGGCUAACACUUCAAUUUUAACUUCCUGUCACGUUAAUAAUAAAUCGACAUGUACGUUUAACCUUUCUCAUUCACCACAUGUGGCCAGGUGCAUUAUCUCACCUGUCCCUCACAGCAAUUCUCUUGAGGUGGCGAUUCUGCUCUCCCAGUUUUUCUGAUGGGGAAACUGAGGCACAGAGAGGUCAAAAAGGUUGUCCAAAAUCACACAGCUGGAGACUCACAGCCAGAUUUGCAUUGUGUCCCUGACUCCUUCCCACUGCAGCAUGCAGCCUCCCCAGGAGGAAGGCAUAUGAGGGCUCUGUGCCCUUGCUCUGGGUUGCCCGGCACUUGGGUGUGGGCCUCUCACAGCCCCAGGGCACUCUUGAUUCAAGGGAUGUCCUAGAGGCCUGCCUGGAGGGCAGCAGCCUCAAUACAGAGCAACGACCCAGACGUGAGACUUCCUUGAAGCGGAUCGGAUCGCAGCAGCCAGCCCUGUGACUGGCAGCUGGGUUCAGAGAACCAGCCAAAGAAAAGCCUUGCUUCCUUUGCACAUAAAGCAUCCAUUCUCAGCCGUACACACUGGCACAGACACUCACAGACCAGCGCCUCAAAGGGCUGGACAAUGAAACAGACACAGGCAAGAGCAAGAGAGUUUUUUUUUUCCUUUCCAAAUGCAAAAC
rnacentral:lncRNA from 1 species